rnacentral:rRNA from 1 species
AUUGAACGCUGGCGGCAGGCCUAACACAUGCAAGUCGAACGAGUGGCGGACGGGAGAGUAAUGUCUGGGAAUGCGCCUGAGGGAGGGGGAUAAACAAUGGAAACGGUAGCUAACACCGCAAUCCAACGGGUGCCCCCAGAGGGGAUUAGCUAGUAGGUGGGGUAAAGGCUCACCUAGGCGACGAGCCCUAGCGGGUCUGAGAGGAUGACCAGCCACACUGGAACUGAGACACGGUCCAGACUCCUACGUGAGGCAGCAGUGGGGAAUAUUGCACAAUGGGCGCAAGCCUGAUGCAGCCAUGCCGCGUGUAUGAAGAAGGCCUUCGGGUUGUAAAGUACUUUCAGCGGGGAGGCGUUACCCGCAGAAGAAGCACCGGCUAACUCCGUGCCAGCAGCCGCGGUAAUAC